GUCGAUGUAGCUCAGAUGGUUAGAGUACCGGCCUGUCACGCCGGGGGUCGAGGGUUCGAAACCCUUCAUCGACGCCA
rnacentral:tRNA from 1 species